UACGUAGGUGGCAAGCGUUGUUCGGAAUUACUGGGCGUAAAGCGCGCGUAGGCGGCUCUUCAAGUCAGGCGUGAAAGCCCCGAGCUUAACUCGGGAACUGCGCUUGAUACUGUCGAGCUAGAGUGUGGUAGGGGAGAUCGGAAUUCCUGGUGUAGCGGUGAAAUGCGCAGAUAUCAGGAGGAACACCGGUGGCGAAGGCGGGUCUCUGGGCCGAUACUGACGCUGAGGAGCGAAAGCGUGGGGAGCAAACGGG
rnacentral:rRNA from 1 species